UUUAUGUCUUCGACAAAUUGACAAAAUUACACUUAUAAUAUUAGAGCUUUGUCUUUUUCUUGAUUAAGAGUGGAUUACUCCUUUCUCUUAAUAAGACAUAAAAGUAUUAGAAGUUACGAAUUACUGUCUUCUAAACUAAUAUUAUUCUUAGUAUUUUCUUUGUUUUCAAGUUCUCUCUUCUACUUGUCUUUAGCAAUAUUAGACAUUU
rnacentral:lncRNA from 1 species